AACGAACGCUGGCGGCGCGCCUAGUACAUGCAAGUCGAGCGAGAAGGUGUAGCAAUACACUUGUAAAGCGGCGAACGGGUGAGGAAUACAUGGGUAAUCUACCAUCGAGUGGGGAAUAACCAACCGAAAGGUUGGCUAAUACCGCGUACGCCUCCGAGUCUUCGGGUUCGGAGGGAAAGCUGCACUGUGAGUGUAGCGCUCUUUGAUGAGCUCAUGUCCUAUCAGCUUGUUGGUAGGGUAACGGCCUACCAAGGCUUUGACGGGUAGCUGGUCUGAGAGGACGAUCAGCCACACUGGCACUGCGACACGGGCCAGACUCCUACGGGAGGCAGCAGUAAGGAAUAUUGCGCAAUGGGCGAAAGCCUGACGCAGCGACGCCGCGUGGGGAUGAAGGUCUUCGGAUUGUAAACCCCUUUCGGGAGGGAAGAUGGAACGAGCAAUCGUUCGGACGGUACCUCCAGAAGCAGCCACGGCCAACUUCGUGCCAGCAGCC
rnacentral:rRNA from 1 species